AAUCAACGCUGGCGGCGUGCCUAACACAUGCAAGUCGAACGCGAAAGCCCCGCAAGGGUAAGUAGAGUGGCAAACGGGUGAGUAACGCGUGGGUGACCUGCCUUCGAGCGGGGGAGUAACGUUCCGAAAGGGACGCUAAUACCGCAUAACAUCCUGCUUUUUAAGUAGGUGGAGAUCAAAGACUGGGGAGUCGCAAGACCUAGCACUCGAAGAGGGGCCCGCGUCCGAUUAGCUAGUUGGUGGGGUAACGGCCACCAA
rnacentral:rRNA from 1 species